rnacentral:ncRNA from 1 species
CACACGUCAGGGCUAACUUGAUGAAAGUCAGGGGCGCAAAGUCACGGGCCUGUGAUCCGUUCCGCGGAUUAUGGCAGCCGGGCUGCAUUC